GGGGAGCAUUGUGUAAGCCUGUGAAGGUGUGUUGUAAAGCAUGCUGGAGGUAUCACAAGAGCGAAUGCUGACGUGAGUAACGACAAAACGGGUGAAAAGCCCGUUCGCCGGAAGACCAAGGGUUCCAGUCCAACGUUAAUCGGGGCUGGGUGAGUCGACCCCUAAGGCGAGGCCGAAAGGCGUAGUCGAUGGGAAAUCGGUUAAUAUUCCGAUACUUGUUUAUGAUGCGAUGGAGGGACGGAGAAGGUUAUGCCAGCUUGGCGAUGGUUGUCCAAGUGGAAGGAUGUAGUUAGGUUUAGUAGGCAAAUCCGCUAGACUAUUAAUGAGAUCUGAUAGCAAGCUGUACUUGUACAGCGAAGUGGCAAAUACCCUGCUUCCAGGAAAAGCUUCUAAGCGAUAGUCAUAAAGAAAUCGUACCCUAAACCGACACAGGUGGUCAGGUAGAGAAUACCAAGGCGCUUGAGAGAACUCUGCUGAAGGAACUAGGCAAAAUGGUACCGUAACUUCGGGAGAAGGUACGCUGCCGAUGGUGAGUAGUCACGCACUACAAAGCUAUUGGCAGUCGCAGAUACCAGGCCGCUGCAACUGUUUAUUAAAAACACAGCACUCUGCAAACACGAAAGUGGACGUAUAGGGUGUGAUGCCUGCCCGGUGCUGGAAGGUUAAUUGAUGGGGUUAGCGUAAGCGAAGCUCUUGAUCGAAGCCCCAGUAAACGGCGGCCGUAACAAUAACGGUCCUAAGGUAGCGAAAUUCCUUGUCGGGUAAGUUCCGACCUGCACGAAUGGCAUAAUGAUGGCGGCGCUGUCUCCAGCAGAGACUCAGUGAAAUCGAAAUCGCAGUGAAGAUGCUGUGUACCCGCGGCUAGACGGAAAGACCCCGUGAACCUUUACUACAGCUUUACAUUGAACUUUGACCUUACCUGUGUAGGAUAGGUGGGAGGCUUUGAAGCAGGCACGCCAGUGUCUGUGGAGCCAUCCUUGAAAUACCACCCUGGUAAUGUUGGGGUUCUAACUCAAGCUUAACAGAGCUGAGGACAAUGUAUGGUGGGUAGUUUGACUGGGGCGGUCUCCUCCUAAAGAGUAACGGAGGAGUACGAAGGUGCGCUCAGAACGGUCGGAAAUCGUUCGAAGAGUAUAAAGGCAAAAGCGCGCUUAACUGCGAGACCCACAAGUCGAGCAGAUACGAAAGUAGGUCUUAGUGAUCCGGUGGUUCUGUAUGGAAGGGCCAUCGCUCAACGGAUAAAAGGUACUCUGGGGAUAACAGGCUGAUACCGCCCAAGAGUUCAUAUCGACGGCGGUGUUUGGCACCUCGAUGUCGGCUCAUCUCAUCCUGGGGCUGAAGCAGGUCCCAAGGGUAUGGCUGUUCGCCAUUUAAAGAGGUACGCGAGCUGGGUUUAGAACGUCGUGAGACAGUUCGGUCCCUAUCUACCGUGGGCGUUGGAAAUUUGAGAGGAUCUGCUCCUAGUACGAGAGGACCAGAGUGGACGAACCUCUGGUGUUUCGGUUGUGACGCCAGUCGCAUUGCCGAGUAGCUAUGUUCGGAUGGGAUAACCGCUGAAAGCAUCUAAGCGGGAAGCCCACCUUAAGAUUAGAUUUCCCUAAAGAGCCGUUGUAGACUACGACGUUGAUAGGUUGGGUGUGGAAGCAUAGUGAUAUGUGUAGCUAACCAAUACUAAUUGCUCGUUUGGCUUGACUAU
rnacentral:rRNA from 1 species